rnacentral:rRNA from 1 species
AUACGGAGGGUGCAAGCGUUACUCGGAAUCACUGGGCGUAAAGCGCGCGCAGGCGGCUAUUUAAGUUGGAUGUGAAAGCCUACGGCUCAACCGUAGAACUGCAUCCAAAACUAUUUAGCUAGAGUGUGGGAGAGGAAGAUGGAAUUAGUUGUGUAGGGGUAAAAUCCGUAGAGAUAACUAGGAAUACCAAAAGCGAAGGCAAUCUUCUGGAACACUACUGACGCUGAGGCGCGAAAGCGUGCGGAGCAAACAGGAUUAGAUACCCUAGUAGUCC